rnacentral:lncRNA from 1 species
ACCCUGCCAUGCCUUUUCAGCUGUCUUCCUCCACCACCUCUAUUCCUGAGCUGAAGUUCCAAUCCUUUCCUGUCUCCUUGCAGGAGCAGGUGGCCUGGCUCCUGGUGUAGGUGGCCUGGCUCCUGGUGUAGGUGGCCUGGCUCCUGGUGUAGGUGGUCUAGCUCCCGGUGUGGGUGGCCUUGCUCCUGGCGUAGGUGGCCUGGCUCCUGGAGUGGGUGGCCUGGCCCCCGGCAUUGGAGGUGUCCCAGGUGUUGGAGGUCCAGCUGCAGCAGCAAAAGCAGCAGCGAAGGCAGCCAAAUUUGGUGCUGGGGUCGGGGUGCCAGGUGGGGUCCCUGGCGUUGCUGGAGUGCCAGGAGUGACACCCGGUGUCGGCGGCGUGCCUGGGUUGGUGCCGGGUGUGGGGGUACCCGGUACUGGCAUCCUCCCCGGUGCAGGCAUCCCCCAAGUAGGGGUGCAGCCUGGUGCUAAACCUCCCAAAUUCGGCGUUCCUGGAGCUGGAGUCCCAGGGGUUGGCGGCAUCCCAGGUGGCCUUGGAGUCGGCGGCCUUGGACUCGGUGGUCUUGGAGUUGGUGGGCUCGGUGCUGGGGCUGGAGUUCCUGGCUUUGGUGUGUCACCGAUAUUUCCAGGUGGGGUCGCCGGCCAGCUGGGAUUUGGUGGGAAGCCCCCCAAGACCUUCGGAGGAGCCCUCGGUGCCCUGGGCUUUAGAGGUGAGCGCUGCUGCCGGGUGAACCCCAUCUCGCCGGGGCCGGCUCCUGCACCCCCUGCCCUUCUCCCAGCCACCCCCCGAGGGGCU